rnacentral:lncRNA from 1 species
CUGUUUUCCAGUGCAGUGCCUGCCUUAAAGGAUACAGUAUGUUGAUGGAUGAAUUAUGGAGGUAGGGAACAGGGACAAUGGAGAAAGGGACUUCCGUCUUUCAUAGUUCUGUCUGCUGCAAGCUGUGCAGACAGAGCUCGGAUCACAGAAUGAUUUGACAUUCUAGUGAGUUCUCUCCUCCCUACACUCAGUACUGAGCUCCAAGAGGAAGCUGUUGAGAAGAGGUCUGGGUGUGAUACACACAUCCAAGGCCACCUGUACAAAGAGCCACUUCCUCCCACUCUGUUGGCAGAAAUAUCAGACCCCUGAGUCAAGUAAUCGACCUUUUUUUCGUUGACUUAGAGCCCAGAGACUGUGUCAUUCUGAGGUGACCUUCAUCCUGAGGGUACAUUUCUCUCCUGCAGUUAAAAUUGCCCUUGAUUUCCAUCUCUUCCUGUGAUCACUUGUAAAGGAUCUUCCACCUGUAAAGGAUUCUUUUAUUAAAAAGUGAAAAAUCUGAGGUGGUUUGGUAAAUCAGUAUUGGAAAGUGAGAAUCAUCUAGGAAAUAUAUAUUUAUAUACAUGUAUGUUAUAUAUAAUGUAAUUUCCAGGUAUUAUGUAAUUAUGUAAUAAAUAUAAUCAUAUAUACAAAUAUAUGUAUUACAGGUAUUAUGAACCAGUGAAGCCUGGUUCAGUAGUCUCUAUAAGGCUCUCGCCUUCAUCUGAUGCUGAAGCUUGAAUUCUGCAAAGCAUACAGGCAGGAAGGGAAGAUGGAUGUAAAGAGAGUGAGGACAAGCUGGAGCCCCUGGGAACAGACUGGAACUUCUAUCAGUCUCUCACUGCUCCCAAAGCUGGAUUUCUUUGUCAUAGAAGGAAAUGCUUCUGGAGCUGGGACAGAACGAGAUCCCCACACCACAGAGUGGAGCCAGCAGUUGCUACGCUCCCCCAUUUAGAAGCCUCCAGGCUCGUCUCACGGGUCUGUAAUCCUGCCAGCUGGAGAGAGCGGCUGUUAACAUGUUGCUGUAUGUUCUUUCACUUUUUUCUUUCCCACGAGGCACAUAUUGAAUAGGAACCACUUAAAAAGGAAUUGCUUUGUACAAUAUUUAUAUAAUGACAAAACUAGGGUAAUUUUUGAAAACAUUUUCUUCUUUUCAAAUGAUACUUACUGCUAAAAUUUGGAAAUGAUAAUGUUUCUACAAAAUUUCAACCUAGAUAAAUAACUCCCAAAAUAAAAAGUGC